rnacentral:lncRNA from 1 species
UGCUCGCGGACCUCUCACAAGAACCUGAGCAGUUUGGGAUAGGAUGGCCUAGACCUAAGACGGCCUGGGGAGUGGGAGAUCGGAGACACGGUGCCCGGACACAAAGAACCUAGAAACCACUUCUAGAGAGACACCAGCUACCCAAACCUGGUAAAACACACCGCAUCCCAUCAUCAUCAAGCUGAGGACCAAGUGGCCAGCACAUGAGCCCUUGGGAGAUAAACUGGAGCCACAUCCAACUGAUAGCCAAAGCCUAGGACAAGGACCUGAGAUAGAGGCUACGAAUAAACUUGGAGUGAGAACGCAAGCCUGGGCAAUUCCCUUUCACCUGCAAGCAGAUUCAGCCAUUCCCUUUUCACCUGUGGAUAGACGGCCUCCUUACCUGUGAAUUAGGCUUUCCCAUGUGAGCAGGCCCUUACCUUCCUACCCCCAGCCACCAAACCAACACCCAGACCACCGCCCAAACCACACAGAGGUUCCACUUCCCCAGAGGUGCAUCUCACUUCUUCGAGCACCCCCAUUCCACUCGAGUACGUCCUAAAAUCUCUGCUAAUAAACACUUCCCAU